AGGGACAGUGUCUGGAGAGGAGGCAGAGAGAGGGACAGUGUCUGGAGAGGGAGGAGAGGAGGCAGAGAGAGGGACAGUGUCUGGAGAGGGAGGAGAGGAGGCAGAGAGAGGGACAGUGUCUGGAGAGGGAGGAGAGGGAGGCAGAGAGAGGGACAGUGUCUGGAGAGGAAGGAGAGGAGGCAGAGAGAGGGACAGUGUCUGGAGAGGAAGCAGAGAGAGGGACAGUGUCUGGAGAGGGAGGAGAGGGAGGCAGAGAGAGGGACAGUGUCUGGAGAGGGAGGAGAGGAGGCAGAGAGGAGGGACAGUGUCUGGAGAGGAAGGAGAGGAGGCAGAGAGAGGGACAGUGUCUGGAGAGGGAGGAGAGGGAGGCAGAGAGAAGGGACAGUGUCUGGAGAGGGAG